ensembl:ncRNA lncRNA:CR44466 long non-coding RNA:CR44466
CUCGCAGUGGAGUUAAAGUUAAGUCUAUGAAACACAGUGGAGAACAGGUCCAACCAAACCAACUGUUUCAAUAGCGAUUAAACAAAUGAGUUGGCUCCUUCGUUUGUUCGGUCCCAGAUGUUUUCGGCUGGCUUGUCAAUCGGCUCAAAGUAAAAUGGAUUGUAGUUGGUACCCUGUCUCAGGGUCUAGCGUAAUAUUUGCUCACAAACAAAAAGGCGAACAGAACAAUCGAAAUACUUGAAGGCUCCCCGAAAAAAAACAAAAAACCAAAAAAAAAAAACUAAAUAAAAAAGAAAGAACCGAGACUCGUGACUUAACAAGGCCAAGAAGCUAAAAUGGAGGGGAAUGACGAUGGAUUUGUAUGGAUGAUGAAUGGCGAGGGCAGCAAUUGUGCAACCAUUUCCACACCAUCAGCGGGAAAUCCAUCAGGUUGGAUUAGAAUAAUAUUUCUACCAUAACAAAAAUUUGUUACCAUUUUGCAGUACACAUUUAACUGAGAAU